UUUUAUAAAUUUUUUCAUACUUAGCAUUGUUACAGUAUAGCACUAUAGUAUUGUAGCUGUAGUAGUAGCAGUACUAUAGUAGUACCGAAUGGUUCGUGUAUUGGUAUAUCAUCGGAUCACUUUUAAGUAAAAAAAAAAAACCUUAUAUUUCUCCGGACCUAAAGACAAAUAUGUCUCACAGUCGGAUAACAUCGAUGAGUGAAAUGCAAAUAAAAGAGAAGACAAUAAUAAUUCAUAUUAAAAAAAAUCUUUCCAAAAAAGUUUUUGUAAAAAAAAAAUUGCAUCAUAUUUCCAAAUCAAACCUAUGGACUUAUUCUUUUGUCGUUUUCUCAUCUUUUCCAAUACAUCUUUUUGAUGCAUAAAAGAAGGGGGGCGAAUGUUAAAACAUUCAUAGAGGAGGUGGCUAACCCUAACCCUAAAUCCACUCUAGCUAGGGAUUAACGUAAAUUACUAAAAUAUCCAUAUUUAAUAUACUUAUUCUGGUCAGAUUCAAGUUAUUAGAUUCAAGUUAAACUACCGUAUCGUAUACUAGAUUUUGUCUCAAACUGUGUCGGAUGUCAGAGAUUCUCCUCUCCGAAUGUAACUGAGAUUUUGUCUCUACUUUGUUGGAUGUUAGACCUUCUCCGCUCCGUAUGUAACUGUCCAUCAGAAUAAGCUUCAUCCAAAAGCCAUCACUGUCUUCCAACUCUCCCUCCUCUCUUUCUCCAUGGAUACAUACAUAUUAUACUAACUGCAGCGUCUCCUCGCACUGAGCCGUCGUUCCGUGCCGGAAGAUCCAAAGCGGAGGACAUGCAGCUUCUCCCUGCCCUGCUGCUCCUCAUCCUAACUCAUCUCCCGGUGGCCAUCAAAGACCUCGUUGCAUUCGAUGUAAAAGACUAUGGAGCUGCGGGUGAUGGCAUCACGGACGACACACAGGUAGCUUCCUCGUCGCAUUUUGCUUCGCUGUUCUCUGCAACCCGCCAUGGUUUUCUAUGAUAACUGCAGAGGUGCAACAGCAGAGAGAGGAGUUUCUGCAACGAUGCUUGUGAUCACUGAACGUUACCAGCGUCACCGCUGCACAGAUUCCUACAGCGUCGUGCCAAACUAGUGAUCACAAGCCAACUCUGUAGCGUUUACACGCGCCGUCUCCCACCGAUGUCCAUUUGCCUGUUCUGUUUCGCUUAUGGGGAAGGCAAAUGCCAAUCUCUGUUUCUUGCUCACGUCAGACCUCCGCAGGAAGAAGAAGAGGUCCUUUAGUGAGUCAUUUAUUUCUCUGUUUGGUUGCUUUGUAGGCAUUUGCAGAUGCGUGGGAAGCUACAUGCAGGAAGGCUACAGGUCUUCCCAUCAUGUUCAUCCCUGGGAAGAAUAAGUUCUUAGUGAGCCCCAUCAUAUUUAAGGGGCCAUGCAAGGCCUCCAAUGUCCUGGUUCAGGUUGAAGGAACACUUGUGGCACCUGACAGCCCGAGCACGUGGAACUUCACCGACGCCUCCCUCUGGAUUCAGUUCAAGUCCGUCGAUGGGCUGAGACUCACCAGUUCUGGCUUUGGUCUGUUUGACGGCCGAGGAUCCAACUGGUGGAGGCAAUCUUGCAAACUCGAUCCCAGAAAGGGAUGCACUUCUUUGGCGCCAACUGUGAGUAUUUUCCCUAGCAAGACAUGGUUACUGAUCAGUUAGAUCUUAUGAUAUCAACUUACAUCCUCAAAACUUACAUGAAACCUCAAACAAUUUAGCAAACCUUCAGGGAUCUCUAGAUCACAAAAGAUUGUAUUUACUUGAGGCAAGAAGAAAGAUUGAUGAUAGUACAGUUACUGAAGUUGUUUUGUGUUCAUUCAGGCAGUAAAAUUUGUGCAGUGCAAUGACCUUGCAGUGAGCAGUCUGCGGUUCAUAAACAGCCCACAGACACAUAUUUUGAUAAUAGACAGUAACAGGGUUUACGUCACUAACCUUAACAUCACAGCUCCUGGGACGAGUCCCAAUACUGAUGGCAUCCACAUCCAUGCUUCCCGACAUGUUUAUAUCCAAGACACCAUCAUAGGAACAGGUGAUGACUGCAUUUCAAUCGGGGAUCGUACUAGUGACAUAGUUGUAACACGAAUAACAUGUGGUCCGGGACAUGGAAUAAGGUGAAAAGCUAACAAC